CUUGAAGAAUGUAGAAGAACCUCCAAUAAAGCGUGCAUCAGAAGAAUCCUGAGUGUUGCAUGCUCCUUGCUGGCGAGGUGCGCGUGACAAGUGGUGCCGAAACCCGGGAAGCGACGACCAUCAUCGCCGGCAUCAGCGGAGACCCCUGACUUCAGGAGGAUUCAGAACUGAGACGCAGGAGGGGAGGAUCCACCAACUUUCCGAGAGGGAGCAUCAAGACAGUGUAUCAGAAACGGAGAGCGAAGAAAGAAGUAAGUCUAGACAAAAACGGAGAACAACGGGAGCUCAAGAAGAAGGGAGCCGCAAAAGAAAAAGAAGGCCUAAGUAUAUAGAGAAGGUAUGUGGAAAUCAUAUAAAAAGGUUUACAUUUACAGUCAAGAAGAGCUUUCAUUCCUUUAACCCUAAUUCU
rnacentral:lncRNA from 1 species